GAUGAACGCUGGCGGCGUGCCUAAUACAUGCAAGUCGAGCGAACAGACGAGGAGCUUGCUCCUCUGACGUUAGCGGCGGACGGGUGAGUAACACGUGGAUAACCCACCUAUAAGACUGGGAUAACUUCGGGAAACCGGAGCUAAUACCGGAUAAUAUAUUGAACCGCAUGGUUCAAUAGUGAAAGACGGUUUUGCUGUCACUUAUAGAUGGAUCCGCGCCGCAUUAGCUAGUUGGUAAGGUAACGGCUUACCAAGGCAACGAUGCGUAGCCGACCUGAGAGGGUGAUCGGCCACACUGGAACUGAGACACGGUCCAGACUCCUACGGGAGGCAGCAGUAGGGAAUCUUCCGCAAUGGGCGAAAGCCUGACGGAGCAACGCCGCGUGAGUGAUGAAGGUCUUCGGAUCGUAAAACUCUGUUAUUAGGGAAGAACAAAUGUGUAAGUAACGAUGCACGUCUUGACGGUACCUAAUCAGAAAGCCACGGCUAACUACGU
rnacentral:rRNA from 1 species